rnacentral:rRNA from 1 species
GACGAACGCUGGCGGCGUGCCUAAUACAUGCAAGUAGAACGCAGUUGCGAACGGGUGAGUAACGCGUAGGUAACUGCCUGGUAGCGGGCGCUAACUAUUGGAAACGAUCGCUAAUACCGCAUACCACUAGAUGGUCCUGCGUUGUAUUAGCUAUUUGGUGGGGUAACGGCUUACCAAGGCGACGGUACAUAGCCGACCUGAGAGGGUGAUCGGCCACACUGGGACUGAGACACGGCCCAGACUCCUACGGGAGGCAGCAGUAGGGAAUCUUCGGCAAUGGACGGAAGUCUGACCGAGCAACGCCGCGUGAGUGAAGAAGGUUUUCGGAUCGUAAAGCUCUGUUGUAAGAGAAGCGGUAUCUUACCAGAAAGGGACGGCUAACUACGUGCCAGCAGCCGCGGUAAUUC